CCACGCUCAUAUUUUUCUAUCAUUUCCAUCUAAAUUUCAAUGGUCUCCAUCGGGAUUUGAACCCGCGUUUCCAGUGCAACAGAAGAGCACGCAGACCAGAGGACUAUUCUUCUGCGUGACAUUAAGAUUCCUAUGAAACAUCUAGAUUCCUAAGGUCGUCUGGAACCGGUCUCCUGUAUGUUCCAAGAACAAGAACCAAGCAGGGUGAGGCAGCAUUUGGUUAUUAUGCUCCUCACCUCUGGAACAAGUUACCUGAAGGUCCGAAGUAUGCUAAAACUGUUAGCUCCUUUAAAUCAGGGCUAAAACACUCUUGUUUAGCACAGCAUAUCCAUAACAGUCUAUAUACUAGUAUUUCAAGCUAUUUGCUUUCUAUUCCUGUUGUGCUUUUUAUCUCCAUUGCUGAUUUCAAUUAGUAGUGGUAGUAGUUUUUUUUAUUCUAUUUGUGAUUAAAUGCGAUUUUUAUGUAUUAUUUUAUUUCCUGUUUUGAUUGUCUUUGUUUUUACUUUCUCUUAAUUUACUGUGGUUUUUAUGAUCUUCAUGUGAUGUAAAGCACUUUGAAUUGCCUUGUGUUGAAUUGUGCUGUAUAAAUAAAUUUGCCUUGCCUUGCCUUGCCGAUUAAAAAAAAACAAAAAAAAACGGGAAAACAGCGGUGAGAUGCAGACAAACGUAAAAAACAAGGCAAUGAUGCAACUAGCAAUGAGGGGAUAUACAAACUGUCAAAUGGCAGCAGGUCAAUAUCUCGGCUAGCUGCCGGGGAUCGGUUUAAAGACACUGCUGAUGAGCUUGAAUUGGAUGCAGGUGCGACAUUGGGAACUCAUCCUUUAUCUCUGUAACAAAACAAUCUAACCAGUAGCAGAAUGUGACAAAAUCAUGCCAGUCCUCAUACUAGCUUUGCUAGCUAGCACAGCUAUUCUAGCAGUCCAUCCUAACCACGUCAUCACCCCCAGCGUGUAUUGUGCAUGUAAAAAAUGACACUAAAUAUAAUAAAUUUUUUAAUCAAUGGCAAUAAUCUAUGUGUUUCUAAUAUUUUAGUAAAAGAGAACAAUUGUGGCUUAUUAGAACCUACAAGUCUUUAAGUCCGAAGUUCCCUUUAAAUGAUUAAAAACAGAAAACAUUAAAAGAUUUUUAUAUAUAUACUGUAUGUAUAUAUAUAUAUAUAUAU